UAAGCGGAGGAAAAGNAACUAACAAGGAUUCCCCUAGUAACUGCGAGUGAAGCGGGNAAAGCUCAAAUUUAAAAUCUGGUGGUCUUUGGCCGUCCGAGUUGUAAUUUAGAGAAGCGUCUUCCGCGCUGGACCGUGCACAAGUCUCCUGGAACGGAGCGUCGUAGAGGGUGAGAAUCCCGUCUUUGGCAUGGACACACCAGGGCUUUUGCGAUGCGCUCUCGAAGAGUCGAGUUGUUUGGGAAUGCAGCUCAAAAUGGGUGGUAAAUUCCAUCUAAAGCUAAAUAUUGGCGAGAGACCGAUAGCGAACAAGUACCGUGGGGGAAAGAUGAAAAGAACUUUGGAAAGAGAGUUAAACAGUACGUGAAAUUGCUGAAAGGGAAACGCUUGAAGUCAGUCGCGUUGUCCAGGGAUCAUCCUUGCUUUUGCUUGGUGCACUUUCUGGUUCGACGGGUCAGCAUCAAUUUUGAUCAUUGGAAAAAGGCUAAGGGAAUGUGGCAUCUUUGGAUGUGUUAUAGCCCUUGGUCACAUACAAUGGUUGGGAUUGAGGAACUCAGCACGCCGCAAGGUCGGGUUUUAAACCACGUACGUGCUUAGGAUGCUGGCAAUAUGGCUUUAAUCGACC
rnacentral:rRNA from 1 species